ACAGCCUGCAGCACUGGGAAUCCAGGAUAUUUGAGCUUCCGGGGAACUGGCAUCCAUGACCCUGAUCUCCACUCCAGUUGGGAUGAGCCAGAGGCCCAAGGCUGCGCCCCGUCGGCCCUCUGCACUCUGUCCCUUGGUCUACAUCGAUGGGCAUCUACACCCCAAUCCUGAACCAAAAGCCAUCAAGGGCUCCCUGUUGGCCAGAGCCAAGCAGAAGGAGGAGAGCAAGAAGCCACGGACACUGUCUGCGUCCAUGCCACAACCUCACAGGCAUGGCCAGGGGGAUCGGUGGGUGGCCCAGCCUGCGAGAGAAGCAGACCCUGCUCAGCCCACCCCUGAGAUCACGCAGCCGGCACC
rnacentral:lncRNA from 1 species